rnacentral:misc_RNA from 1 species
AAUUCUCAACCAUGAACUUUGAGAUCAUGGCUUGGAGUUGGAAGUUGCUGGCCUUCCGGCCAGCUCUUCUUAAACGGAUUAGCGAUCGAGUUGGCUAGUCUUUGACGUACACGGCCUCGGACGUGAUAAUGAUCGUCCUGGCUGGAGCGUCUUUUUUGUAGACUAUGCACACGGAUGGCUUCUAAUAAGAAUGGUCGAGCG